GACGUAGGGCGCAAGCGUUUGUCCGGAUUUAUUGGGCGUAAAGGAGCUCGUAGGCGGCCUGUCGCGUCGACCGUGAAACCCGCAGCUCAAACUGCGGGCUUGCGGUCGAUACGGGCAGGCUGGAGUUCGGUGAGGGGAGAUUGGGAAUUCCUGGUGUGAGCGGUGGAAUGCGCAGAGUAUCAGGAGGAACACCGAUGGCGAAGGCAGAUCUCUGGGCCGUAACUGACGCUGAGGAGCGAAAGCAUG
rnacentral:rRNA from 1 species